rnacentral:rRNA from 1 species
UACGGAGGGUGCAAGCGUUAUCCGGAUUCACUGGGUUUAAAGGGUGCGUAGGCGGGCAGGUAAGUCAGGGGUGAAAUCUUCGAGCUUAACUCGGAAACUGCCUUUGAUACUAUCUGUCUUGAAUAUGGUGGAGGUAAGCGGAAUAUGUCAUGUAGCGGUGAAAUGCUUAGAUAUGACAUAGAACACCUAUUGCGAAGGCAGCUUACUACGCCUAUAUUGGCGCUGAGGCACGAAAGCGUGGGGAUCAAACAGG